rnacentral:hammerhead_ribozyme from 1 species
AUCCAGCUGAAGAGUCUCAAAUAGAGCGAAACGCACAUCGUAGAU